UCCGAUUAUCGACCUCGCCUCUUUGCCUCAUGUUUUUGGAUACUGUUGCCUUUCUUGGAUUGCCUGCCUGUGUACCGACCUAUACCUGUAUAUUAAACCUCUCUUUUUGGAAACUGUCCAUUUGUUUUGGAGUCGUGCAUUUUUGGUUCCUAUCCUCUGUUCCGUUCAUGACAGUUUGUUUCUGUGUGCCCUACAAUUGGCUGGUGACCGGUUCAGGAUGUACCCCGCCUCCCGCCCGAAGAUAGCUGGGAUAGGCUCCAGCAGCCCGCGACCCUAGUGAGGAUAAGCAGUAAAGAAGAUAGAUAGAUGGAUGGGCACAAAGCGCCACCCGAGCUCCAAAGAGGAACUGCAGGAUCACACACACAGAUCAUGAGAUUUUGGCUUGCAUGUACACAGGGAAUGCUUGUUUUGGGCUCACAGUGCAGCCGGAUCUCCACCUUGUGGCUUGGACCCCAUCUUGCAGCGCUGAACUCCUGCCUGGCAGCCACGCUACAGCUUACCAAAAUCAAUAGAAGAGCUGUUUUAAAAAAGCUCAGAGAGCCAGCUGUGGGUAAAAGAAGGAAGAGGACGUCCUGUGUGGAGAGUUAUAAGCUCGAGGGUUACAGGGUCAACGACUGGAACCUGACAUCACUGCUCAA